CCUACGGGGCGCAGCAGUGGGGAAUAUUGGACAAUGGGGGAAACCCUGAUCCAGCGACGCCGCGUGAGUGAAGAAGUAUUUCGGUACGUAAAGCUCUAUCAGCAGGAAAGAAAAUGACGGUACCUGACUAAGAAGCCCCGGCUAACUACGUGCCAGCAGCCGCGGUAAUACGUAGGGGGCAAGCGUUAUCCGGAUUUACUGGGUGUAAAGGGAGCGUAGACGGCAGCACAAGUCUGGAGUGAAAUCCCGGGGCUUAACCCCGGAACUGCUUUGGAAACUGGGCGGCUGGAGUGCAGGAGGGGUAAGCGGAAUUCCUAGUGUAGCGGUGAAAUGCGUAGAUAUUAGGAGGAACACCGGUGGCGAAGGCGGCUUACUGGACUGUAACUGACGUUGAGGCUCGAAAGCGUGGGGAGCAAACAGGAUUAGAUACCCCAGUAGUC
rnacentral:rRNA from 1 species